GGCUGGUUAGCUCAGUGGUUUGAGCGCGGUGCUGACAAUGACGAACACCGAGGUCGUGAGUUCGAUUCCCACUCGGUCC
rnacentral:tRNA from 1 species